CUGGUUGAUCCUGCCAGUAGCUAUAUGCUUGUCUCAAAGAUUAAGCCAUGCAAGUGUAAGUACAUCUCUGUAGAGAGAAACUGUGAAUGGCUCAUUAAACCAGAUAAGAAUUACGCAAGAUUCGUAAGUCCUGGAUAACUGUGGCAACUCUAGAGCUAAUACAAGCAAAAGUACCAGAUUGGAAAAGAUGGUAUCAGGUAUUAGAUAUAAAAUCUUAAGAAUCCAAGAUUCUUCACUAAAGGUGAAACGUUUUACUUAGGAAAUCUGCGCACGUAGAUAUUUGCUCGUAUGUCUGACCUAUCAGCUGAAGAUGGUAGGGUUGAGGCCUACCAUGGCGUUGACGGGUAACGGGGAAUUAGGGUUCUACUCCGGAGAGGCAGCCUGAGAAACGGCUACCACAUCUAAGGAAGGCAGCAGGCGCGUAAAUUACCCAAUCCUGACACAGGGAGGUAGUGACAAGAAAUAACAAUAUGUGAGAAUUUUCUUACGUAAUUGGAAUGACUUGACUUUAAAAAUGUCGGGGAGUACCAAUUGGAGGGCAAGUCUGGU
rnacentral:rRNA from 1 species